GGCUUCGUGGCCCAAUGGCAAGGCGUCUGACUACGACGGUCCAAGACCACGGUCAUGGAUUAGAAAUAGAGCAUCAGGAGAUUCUGGGUUCGAUCCCCAGCGAAGUCA